rnacentral:tRNA from 1 species
GAAAACUUAGUUAAACAACAAAUAACAUCAAUAUGUCAAGUUGAAAUUAAUAACUCGUUAGUUUUUA